GGUGGGCCCGCGACCUAUCAGCUUGUCGGUGGGGUAACGGCCUACCGAGGCUCUGACGGGUAGCUGGUCUGAGAGGACGACCAGCCACACGGGGACUGAGACACGGUCCAGACUCCUACGGGAGGCAGCAGUGAGGAAUCUUGCGCAAUGGGCGAAAGCCUGACGCAGCAACGCCGCGUGGGUGAUGAAGGCCUUCGGGUCGUAAAACCCUGUCAGGUGGGAAGAAUCGGGUGGGGGCUAAUAUCCUCUGCCCCUGACUGUACCACCAGAGGAAGCCCCGGCUAACUCCGUGCCAGCAGCCGCGGUAAUACGGAGGGGGCCAGCGUUGUUCGGAAUUAUUGGGCGUAAAGGGCGCGUAGGCGGCCGAGUAAGUCUGACGUGAAAUCCCUUGGCUUAACCAAGGAACUGCGUCUUAAACUGCUCGGCUUGAGUCCGGGAGAGGGUAGUGGAAUUCCCAGUGUAGCGGUGAAAUGCGUAGAUAUUGGGAGG
rnacentral:rRNA from 1 species